rnacentral:rRNA from 1 species
GAUGAACGCUGGCGGCGUGCCUAAUACAUGCAAGUAGAACGCUGAAGGAGGAGCUUGCUCUUCUGGAUGAGUUGCGAACGGGUGAGUAACGCGUAGGUAACCUGCCUGGUAGCGGGGGAUAACUAUUGGAAACGAUAGCUAAUACCGCAUGACAACAGUUAUUGCAUGAUAACUGUUUAAAAGGGGCAACUGCUCCACUACCAGAUGGACCUGCGUUGUAUUAGCUAGUUGGUGAGGUAACGGCUCACCAAGGCGACGAUACAUAGCCGACCUGAGAGGGUGAUCGGCCACACUGGGACUGAGACACGGCCCAGACUCCUACGGGAGGCAGCAGUAGGGAAUCUUCAGCAAUGGACGGAAGUCUGACCGAGCAACGCCGCGUGAGUGAAGAAGGUUUUCGGAUCGUAAAGCUCUGUUGCAAGAGAAGAACGAGUGUGAGAGUGGAAAGUUCACACUGUGACGGUAUCUUACCAGAAAGGGACGGCUAACUACGUG